AAAAAGCCUCCAAACACCACAAAGACCAGACCUUUUCACUAUAACCACAAAAAAGAGAGGUAAAAAACAAACCCCAGAUAGCAUUUCAACCACAUUACAGUGUUAAACAAAAUACCACAUGCUAUACUUCAAGAAAACACCAAA